GGACGACUCUCGGCAACGGAUAUCUCGGCUCUCGCAUCGAUGAAGAACGUAGCGAAAUGCGAUACCUGGUGUGAAUUGCAGAAUCCCGUGAACCAUCGAGUCUUUGAACGCAAGUUGCGCCCGAGGCCAUCCGGCCAAGGGCACGCCUGCCUGGGCGUCACGCUU
rnacentral:rRNA from 1 species